UACAUGCAAGUCGAACGAACUCUUCGGAGUUAGUGGCGGACGGGUGAGUAACACGUGGGAACGUGCCUUUAGGUUCGGAAUAACUCAGGGAAACUUGUGCUAAUACCGAAUGUGCCCUUCGGGGGAAAGAUUUAUCGCCUUUAGAGCGGCCCGCGUCUGAUUAGCUAGUUGGUGAGGUAAAGGCUCACCAAGGCGACGAUCAGUAGCUGGUCUGAGAGGAUGAUCAGCCACAUUGGGACUGAGACACGGCCCAAACUCCUACGGGAGGCAGCAGUGGGGGAAUCUUGCGCAAUGGGGCGAAAGCCCUGACGCAGCCAUGCCGCGUGAAAUGGAUGGAGGUCUUAGGGAUUGUAAAAUUCCUUUCGCCGGGGGACGAUAAUGACGGUACCCCGGAAGAAGAAGCCCCCGGCUAACUUCGUGCCCAGCCAGCCGCGGUAAUUACGAAAGGGGGCCUAGCCGUUGCUUCGGAAAUACUUGGGGCGGUAAAGGGAAGCGUAAGC
rnacentral:rRNA from 1 species